CAGGUUUCCGCCAAAACCCGUGCAAGCGUAGCCAAAACCCGUGCACGCGUAUUGUGCACAUCGCGCGUGCGAACGGGACUCGCGCGUGGAGGUUAGAACCUCAUGAGUGAAAAUAUACAUGGCGAGGAGGUCAUUUGUACACUGAGAGGGAGCAAACUGUGUCUGUGAGCGCACAAGGAUGUGCACAAGUGACAAACCUGCGUGCGCUCGUUGGCCAACGAGCACACGGCAGAGGAAAACAUGCGUGCGGCAGCCUCACUGCGCGCUCGGUGCGGCAGCCUCACUGCACGUGUGGCAGCCUUUCUGCGCGCUCGGUUUCUGAUUCUGCUCGCUCAGCUGUUGGGAGUUUUGGCACUCUGGAGGCGUGGAAGAAUUAAAGUGCCAGAAACUGAGCAGUUGAACUUUCAAUUUGAGAGCAGAAUUUCAUAUCAAGAGACCAUCUUUUUAAUUUCAGAAUACUAUUUUAUAUUAUUGCUCUCAAAACUUGUAAUGCUUGCGCUCAAAAUGUCUGCUCUCUUUCAAAUUCACUCUGUUCUCCUUCAAAUCUUUGUUUUUGCGCUCAGAUUUAACCUUCUUACACUGGUAUUGUCUUCUCAUGUGACAACUUUUUCUCUGCACGGAUCAAAACUCCUCCCACAAGUCUGUCCCCUGCUCUCACGGAUCUUGUCUGCUCUCGCUCAAAACUUAGAAGUACAAUCUCCUAGCAACCGCUCAGCCAAUAGAAAGACUUGUGGGACUGGGCGGGAACAAACCUCUUUGGGGUGCGCUCGUUUUGCGCUCUGUGGAUUUUCCUGUGUGGCUGCCACAUCUGCGCACUAACAGCCUGGCUAAUACCCGCUCUGAUCUGGAGCGAGAGUUUCACCUGCACCAGCAAAAUGGACCAGAACCAACAAGACGCUCAAGUAAGUUAUUUUUCAAGGCUACUAGCUGCAGUUUAUUCCAUAAAAUUGUUUUGUUAUGCUACUUUUUACGACUCCUCGCAUUUAAUAUUGCAACAGGGGCACAUAGCUAGGUGGAUUAGGGUCCUACAUGGAAUAAAAUGUCCGGUGUUUUAUCCAGGAACUGGGGAUCGAGUUAUGAGGGGCUAGAUAUGUGUCAGGGAAAGAUCCAAAAAUGUUUUCUAGUGCCGUAUUCCCCAGAGUUGGAUAAGUGAAUGAAAAAGGAUUGUUUUAACCAGCGCAGUAAUUCUUAUCUGCCAGCAGUCUGUCUACUUUAGAUGAGAAUAAACCAUGUAACUUAAUGGGAGGUAGUAGCAUUUUGUGUGCAAAACUGUAAAAUUACUAAAUUAUGAUACCAGUUAUUCCUGUUGAGCUCAAUAAUCAUGUUGACUGCAAAUGAAAAGUAAGAAGUAACACAUUUGCAGGAGCCAAUUUAGACAGUAGACAAAUUUUCACAUAGGGUGGAAUAUCCCUUUAAAUCAAACUUCAAACAUGCACGUUAGCAAUAUACAGAAUAUUUUAAUUACAUUUCAUGUUAAUCAUUAUUGUUUACUUAACAAUGAUUGUUGGUCACUGAUUUAAAAAAAUGUCUUUAAUAGGUUUCCUGUCCAUUGUGUGAUAAGAAUUUACUCAGGAGUCUAUACAACUGCAUGCCAGCUUUUGUGGUGAAGGAGGAAGAGGACAGCAUCAUACUGGAUGUGGAUGACUCUUCCAAGCACUUAAUCUGCUUAUCAGACAUCCUGAAGUUCCUACAAGAAAGAGUUGACAACACUAAAACCUUUAACAUAAUGUGACAAGGGACGACCUUUACCAGAGAGGUCUGAAACAGCGGGCCAGACAGAAGCAGGCUUCCCCCAAAAACCAGCUAAUUGUUUCCUUUAUUGGAGAACACGACAUUGAUGAAGGAGCACUACGCCGAGAGUUCCUAACUGAAAUGAUGCGAGGCCUUGAGUUGAACUUAUUUGAAGGAGUUUCAUGCAAAGGCAAAACCCCAAAUAUAGUAUCUCUUACUACCAGGAAAACAGAUACAGGUAUGUACAGUAUGAUGCUGCUCUGCAGUGUAACUUGGCUUGUUUUGUGUUCAGGAUCUGUGGGGAGAUCAUUGCCACCAGCUUGGUUCAAGCAGGACCAGCACCGAAUUUCUUUUCUACUUGGUCUUACCAUUUCUUGCGUCAUGGACAAAUAACAAAUGAAGAUGUGCCAGAGGUGACUGAUACGGCAAUCCAGAACCUGAUUCAGGAGGUAAAUUAAACAGAAUAAUUUAUUUUCUGUAAAUUGUACUAACAAGUGUUUCUGAUUGAAGGUCGAACGUGCCGAAGAAGACGCACUGACAGACCUUUCUGAUGCCAUUGUAGCAUGUGGCUACACUGGUCAAUUCACAGCAAUUGCAAAAGGGCCAUCAUUGAGGCCAUCAGUUUGCAUUCGGUGAUGAGACUCAUACCGAUGCUAAGUCAGCUUAGAGAAGGACUGGCCAUCUAGGGUUUGGAUGAGCUGUUGCCACAACACCACCAGGCACUUCAGCCCCUCUUUCUUCCUGGGAACCUUAAACAGUAUUUUUAAAAACGUCUUUUGUAGGUGGAUGCAGACUUCGUUGUGGAGGCACUGGCUGCUCAGUACAGUGACAAUGGAUCAGUAAGACACAAAGGAAGUGGACAUGAUCAACUUUUUGCAGGACCUCUUGCAAAACCUGGAAGAAGGAGGAACAGAUGACCAAGAUGGGAGCCCAUCAGAUGGCUGUGGAGCAAAGCAGUUGUCAGUGCAAGGAUUUUUUUCAGUGGGUUUCAGGCCAGGCACAUGUGCCACUAACAGACACAGAAAGAGAAUUUUACAAGAUAACUAAAUGUUGAUCACGACAGUACCACCCGGUAUGGACCACACUUAAUCACCUUACCUACAUGGCACGUUACUACAUACACUGACUUUGAAAGUCAGCUUACUCAGGCAGUCUGUGAUAGAUUUGAUUUUAGCAGACAUUAAGUGAAAACAAGAUGGCCACUGUUCUGGGUUCAGGUUACUGUAUAAUGGUUCAAAUUUAACUUUGAAUCCAAAAAGACAAAUGGUUUUGUUAAAUAAUGUAAUGUUUUGGAGCUAGAAAGCGACAUUGUUACAUGAAUCCAUAAAGUUAGGCUUAUUGCCAUUUCAAAUACAUGUU